rnacentral:rRNA from 1 species
GCUUACGGCCAUACCACCCUGAGUAUGCCCGAUCUCGUCUGAUCUCAGAUGCUAAGCAGGGGCGGGCCUGUUUAGUACUUGGAUGGGACACUGCCUAGGAAUACCAGGUGCUGUAAGCU